rnacentral:rRNA from 1 species
GACGAACGCUGGCGGCGUGCUUAACACAUGCAAGUCGAACGAAGAGCGACGGAAGCUUGCUUCUAUCAAUCUUAGUGGCGAACGGGUGAGUAACGCGUAAUCAACCUGCCCUUCAGAGGGGGACAACAGUUGGAAACGACUGCUAAUACCGCAUACGAUCUAACCUCGGCAUCGAGGAUAGAUGAAAGGUGGCCUCUACAUGUAAGCUAUCACUGAAGGAGGGGAUUGCGUCUGAUUAGCUAGUUGGAGGGGUAACGGCCCACCAAGGCGAUGAUCAGUAGCCGGUCUGAGAGGAUGAACGGCCACAUUGGGACUGAGACACGGCCCAGACUCCUACGGGAGGCAGCAGUGGGGAAUCUUCCGCAAUGGACGAAGGUCUGACGGAGCAACGCCGCGUGAGUGAUGACGGCCUUCGGGUUGUAAAGCUCUGUUAAUCGGGACGAAAGGCCUUCUUGCGAAUAGUGAGAAGGAUUGACGGUACCGGAAUAGAAAGCCACGGCUAACUACGU